rnacentral:tRNA from 3 species
GUUAAAGUGGCAGAUUAGUGCAUUAGACUUAAACCCUAAAUAUGAGAACCCUCCUUUAACU